UCCCCGGUGGCGCAAUUGGCUAGCGCGUCUGACUGUUACUAAACUGUUAUCAGGAGGUUGAAAGUUCGAGCCUUUCCCGAGGAG
rnacentral:tRNA from 1 species